UACGAGGGGGGCGAGCGUUGUUCGGAAUUAUUGGGCGUAAAGGGCGCGUAGGCGGCGUGGUAAGUCACUUGUGAAAUCUCUGAGCUUAACUCAGAACGGUCAAGUGAUACUGCUGUGCUAGAGUGCGGAAGGGGCAAUCGGAAUUCUUGGUGUAGCGGUGAAAUGCGUAGAUAUCAAGAGGAACACCUGAGGUGAAGACGGGUUGCUGGGCCGACACUGACGCUGAUGCGCGAAAGCCAGGGGAGCAAACGGG
rnacentral:rRNA from 1 species